UUUCCACAAUGAAGCCAUGGACCCUCUCCUGAGUCCACUCUCAGGCGCUGUUCAUCUGACACUCUUCCUUGGAUUGUCCCAUGGUCUCCGGGAUUAGUCCCACCCCAAGAAGCGGGCCCUGUCUGUGACAACGCCCUUUCCAAGAAGACUCUCCCAUUGGUCACGCCCCCGCCAGGGCUCUCACCUUAGAAGGCCGCCAGGCAUGGCUGAGGACCCAAAGCUAUGCAACCUAUAUAUCAAAUGGGUUCACCGGCACCAAUGCACAAAUGAUUCUCAACCCAGCGUACCCUAAAUAAGAGUCUCAGUCAGCACUGAUGGCCUCAAGACUGGAAUCAAAUCAAACCUGCAUAGCUAAUUGUUCUCUACCCCGACUUGCCAGACAUACUAUUCUAAGGAGCUCGUUGCUGGAGAGGACCUUGCCUCUGGUUGAAUCCACCAUGGAGCUGGACUACAGGACCUAGCGUUGCUGCAGCCCUGGGACUUGGACUUGGGAUUACACCUGCAGAGGUUGCCAACUGCCUGCCCAGCGGACCUGUGCUUUAAGGCAACACUGUAAACCACCCCCUCCGCAAUGGUCAACUCAUCUGCUGGCCACGUAGGUGCUGUGACCACCACGGCCUGUCACAUAUACAUCAACAACUCAGGGCAAGUCCAAUAUAAUUUACAAAAGAUGCAAUGACAAACACACAUGAUUAAUAAUAUCUCCAACAUCUUUGUUAAAAAGUAUAAUUCCUCCCACCCCUUCACUUAUCUUCAGGCCUGUGGGGGCCCUUUUCUCAUGCUAAGCCCCAUUACCUGGGGAGACCGGCUCCACCAGGUCUUCCAAUGAUCAGUAAGUCAUAGGACUAGUUCUAAUGAUGAUUAUGGUGCACUUAUUUAGGCUGAUCGUUUCAAACAUAAUGAACGGCUUAAAUGUCCCCAAAUGUCCUCAGACCCUGACCAUCCUGAAAAUGCCACAGGGUAGAUUGUAAUGGCAUAAGAGAAAUAUAUUUGGUGCCAUGUCAACCCGCCUGGCCUAGUUGUAACACCCCGGCUAGCCCUGCCCUGGGUGUAAUUCUGAUUAGCAAGGCCUGCACCUCUACAAGGUUUGGUGCACUUCUACCACGUCUUCUCCUACCACAUCUUCUCCUACCACAUCUUCUCCAAAAGGCCUCUUGCCCUUUCAUACUGCCUAAUUCACUAGCAGGGCAGUUUCUUCCAUAUGGCUUGGGUGAUAAGAAACUGUCCUCAGCUUCUCCAAAAGGCCCUGGGGCUUCUACUUUUUGCACCUUAUAGUUUAAAAUUCCCAAUCCCCAGUAUCCAUGGGAAAGUCCUACCUGCUCCCUCUGGGUCACAAUAAAGGCAAGAGCCUGGGACCCACAUGUGCUCACCAAGCCCCCACCCCCUGCCAGCAGGAGGUUAGGUUGGGGAAGCCCACUGGGCCCCUCCACUGCCCUCAUU